UGCAAGCGUUGUCCGGAUUUAUUGGGUUUAAAGGGUGCGUAGGCGGCCCGUUAAGUCAGUGGUGAAAGCCUCCAGCUCAACUGGAGAACUGCCAUUGAUACUGACAGGCUUGAGUACAGACGAGGUUGGCGGAAUUGAUUGUGUAGCGGCGAAAUGCAUAGAUACAAUCAAGAACUCCGAUUGCGUAGGCAGCUAACUAGGCUGUAACUGAGGCUGAGGCACGAAAGCGUGGGGAGCGAACAGG
rnacentral:rRNA from 1 species